rnacentral:rRNA from 1 species
GACGAACGCUGGCGGCGUGCCUAAUACAUGCAAGUAGAACGCACAGUUUAUACCGUAGCUUGCUACACCAUAGACUGUGAGUUGCGAACGGGUGAGUAACGCGUAGGUAACCUGCCUGGUAGCGGGGGAUAACUAUUGGAAACGAUAGCUAAUACCGCAUAAUAUUAAUUAUUGCAUGAUAAUUAAUUGAAAGGUGCAAUUGCACCACUACCAGAUGGACCUGCGUUGUAUUAGCUAGUAGGUGAGGUAACGGCUCACCUAGGCGACGAUACAUAGCCGACCUGAGAGGGUGAUCGGCCACACUGGGACUGAGACACGGCCCAGACUCCUACGGGAGGCAGCAGUAGGGAAUCUUCGGCAAUGGACGAAAGUCUGACCGAGCAACGCCGCGUGUGUGAAGAAGGUUUUCGGAUCGUAAAGCUCUGUUGUAAGAGAAGAACGGGUGUGAGAGUGGAAAGUUCACACUGUGACGGUAUCUUACCAGAAAGGGACGGCUAACUACGUG